UCCCUAUGGGGCGCAGCAGGCGCGAAAACUUUACAAUGCGGGCAACCGUGAUAAGGGAACCUCGAGUGCCUGUAUAUGCAGGCUGUCCAGGUGUCUAAAACACACCUGAAGAAAGGGCCGGGCAAGACCGGUGCCAGCCGCCGCGGUAAUUCA
rnacentral:rRNA from 1 species